CGUGAGAUGUUGGGUUAAGUCCCGCAACGAGCGCAACCCCUGUCCCUAGUUACCAGCACGUCAUGGUGGGAACUCUAGGGAGACUGCCCCGGAUAACGGGGAGGAAGGCGGGGAUGACGUCAAGUCAUCAUGGCCCUUACGUCCAGGGCUACACACGUGCUACAAUGGCCGAGACAGAGCGCUGCAAGCCCGCGAGGGUGAGCGAAUCGCUUCAAACUCGGUCUCAGUUCAGAUCGGAGGCUGCAACUCGCCUCCG
rnacentral:rRNA from 1 species